rnacentral:rRNA from 1 species
UACGGAGGGUGCGAGCGUUGUCCGGAAUCAUUGGGCGUAAAGGGCGCGUAGGUGGCCUGGUCAGUCCGUGGUGAAAGCGCGGGGCUCAACCCUGCGUCGGCCAUGGAUACUGCUAUGGCUUGAGCACUGUAGAGGCAGGCGGAAUUCCGGGUGUAGCGGUGGAAUGCGUAGAGAUCCGGAAGAACACCGGUGGCGAAGGCGGCAUCCUGGACCGGUAUUGACGCUGAUGCGCGAAAGCGUGGGGAGCGAACAGG